rnacentral:lncRNA from 1 species
ACCAUUACAGCCCCCCUCCCCUCACAAUGAGGGGACCCACAAUUAAAAAAUUCAUUGGAACCCCCUCAUCAUGUGAGAGGACAGUAAAUCAUGGUGUACAAGUAGUUUAAUUGUUUAAAAAAUAGUUUGGGAUCCAGUGGUGUAAUUUUUUUAUUUGGAAGUGUAAAAUUCUCUAUAUAUAGAAGUGCAAUAAGAGAGAAUCAACACAAAGCACUGCCCAAUUCCAUGGCUGCACUUUUCUAUAUCUCAAUUAUCUCCCUUCUGUUUUCUUCCCUCUCCGGCAAACUGGAGGAUGAUUUUCCUGCAGAAGUUGAUGCUAAGGUGCUCGGAUUUCGCAAGGAAAAACUCACCCAUUUCCGAGUUUAUUGGCACGAUAUUUUAGGUGGGCAAAAACCCACUUCAAUCCGAAUCAUUUACCCACCUUCCAAUGUUUCAGCAUCCAGUAGUUUCGGCAUGGUAAGUAUGAUUGACAAUCCACUAACAGUAGGCCCUGAAUUGAAGUCCAAAUUGGUUGGAAGAGCACAAGGGUUUUACGCUUCGGCUUCGCAAGAAGAAUUAUGUUUCUUGAUGACAAUGAAUUUUGUAUUUGAUGAGGGGAAAUAUAAUGGAAGUACGAUUACAGUAAUGGGGAGGAAUGCAGUUUUCAAUAAAGUGAGGGAGAUGCCAGUGAUCGGAGGAAGUGGGCUUUUCCGAUUUGCUCGCGGCUAUGUUGAGGCAAGAACUCAUACGUUUGAUCCCAAGACUGGAGAUGCUACCGUUGAGUAUAAUGUCUAUGUGCUUCAUUAUUGAUUCUUAGUCUGCCUUUUUUGUGCAAAAAGCUAGAAAAAGUGACUUUUGAGCUGGGUGGAACAUGUUGUAAUUUCUUGCUAGCUUUUAAUAAUUAUGCGUUGGUUAUUUUUAGUAUUGAAUCAGUGUAACUUGGCUGCAUCAUCUCAUAGAUGCUGCUGUUUGGGAUCUAGAUAAAUUUAGGGCUUGUUUAAUUUGGAUUAAAAUCUGAUUUUUAAUUUAAAUUAAAGUUAAAGUUUAAUAAUCAAUAUUAAUCAUAUCUUCCAAGAUUUGCAUAGUUUUUGAACUACACAUUUCGAAAACUUCAAUCAUAAUUUACUGAAAAUUUU